CAUUGACAUUCUUAGUGAAGCGCGGUCUGUCGAGCCGAGUGCCCGCGACAGUAUUGUGAACUAGUGCUAUAUUUAUUAUUACCCACGUGAUAUUGUUUCUGUGAACAGGAAGAGGAAAACACUGAAGUCUGAGUAUCAUCAUUACUUAUUUAACCUUGUAAGCCAUCUUCCAUACCAAGAAUGGGCUACGCCACCGAUAUUGAUGUUCCAGAAGAAAGACAGGAGCCAUCUGAUGCGGAAAUUGUUAAGGAACUAUCAGACAUACAAGGCUUGCCUGAAAAAAUCCCUGAACGGUACCCAAAUAAGCCAUUAUCCGUGCCGCCAGACACGCCCGAAGGCGAUGAACAACUCAGCGAGUGACUCACCUGUACGGUGUACCUGACCUGUAAUGACAGGACAAAAGAACUUCCUCCCGUGCAACUUACCCAAGCAUCAUCGAUUAAGUCAUUACGUAUUAGAAUUACUUAUAGUGUCUACCAGUGGCGAGGGGCCAAAUUAUCCCAAACGGAACCCGACACAACAUAAUAUUGGUACUUAUACGCAUAAACGCUGUUUGCAAAUCGUUGUAAUAAUUAGACUUUACAUACAUUACGAAAGGGAAGCAGGAUUCGGGUUUUAGGGACCCUUUGCCACUGGUGUGUACUAUUGCUAUUGUUUCUGACAAAGUCACGGAAGAUAUAUCACCUACAGUUGCUAAAGAAGAACCGGUUCUAACAGAAAAAUCUUCUGAAAAUCCAUCUCCAACAGAAGCCACAUCAGUAAGCUCAGCAGCUAAAGAACCUUCACCGGAAGUUGUAGAUGAACAUCCUUCUUCAACAUCAUCGGCACUUCAAGAACCUUCAACGACUAUUGCAGUUUCAGUUAUUACUGUUGAAGAUUCAGUUUCUACGGCUGUGCCUCUAAAGACAACUCCUGAAGAGUCUACAACAACCGAAAAUUCUGAAGCAUCUCCCACUGAAAAAGUUGAUUUUCAAUAGUGCAAAAACAAAUUAUAUAAAAUAAAUUCUAUAAUAGCAAGAGCGUCGCCAGCCGCUGGCCCAGGGGGGGUUGAUAAGGAGAAUGACAAAAAUAUGAAUUGUAGGUAAACUUGAGAGCACAUGUUGCACUACUCCCCCUCUCCCGCUUUAACAAUAACAUAAAGCAGAGCGUAAUUGAGCGUACGGAAUAUUGGGAAAGUAAUUGGUGAAUUCAGUCGUAUUUCGACGUACGGGAAUGGUCGAUCAAGUAAGUCAAGACUUAGGAAAUGGUUGCUUUACAUUUGGCAACGUUUUUAGAAUCUGUUGGGGGGCCAGCUGCCCUUCCUUUCGCCCAUGGCGACGCCCUAGUAUAAUAGAGAUUUUAAAUGUUUGUAAAUAAAUAUAAAAAGUAAAAAGUGUUCUUGAUUCUGACAGUAAUCGUUUUUUUUGUUCCUAAAUCAAAGAUAUUAUUUAUUACAUUUGUGCUCCAAAUGUUAUCACCAAUUGGUGAUUGAUUCCUUCCUAACCGAAUUUCAGUCACGGCAGCAAAUCUCAACGGAGAUCAGCCACGCAGGAGAUAUUAUAGUGCACAAGUGUACUCACUAUUUCUCCACUCUCAUAGUCCUUUGAGAGGGCAAUCCGACAUGACCGGAGAGAGUUCAGCCGCAAGAUCGACGGCUUUACGUGCUUACCGAGGCACGAAGUAUUACAACGACAACUUCCUGACUCCGAGCUGCGACUGAGUAUUUUUUUUUAAGAUGAAAAAACCCAGUCGCAAUUAUUUUGAUCCGACCCGGAAUUCGAACCCAGGACCUCAACGCGGUAGUUGUACUCAUACUGUGUACAAUUACAACUACGCCACUGACGCAGUAAUCGGUAAUAAGUCGCAGUCUUAUUUGAAAUGUCAGUGUGACAUGACGUCACAGUGUGUGUAUAAUUAUUUCAUACAUAAUUCCAGAAGUUCACAUAAAUUAUAAAAUGCGCCAUCUAUUGUCAGAAAGCUUUUCGAUAUCUGAAAUUAAUCGAUUUGUGUAAUCGAUAUCCUUUUUCUUAUGCUACGGAAAUGACGCAAAA
rnacentral:lncRNA from 1 species